rnacentral:rRNA from 1 species
CUGCCCUUAGGUUCGGAAUAACUCAGAGAAAUUUGAGCUAAUACCGGAUAAUGUCUUCGGACCAAAGAUUUAUCGCCUUUGGAUGGGCCCGCGUUAGAUUAGGUAGUUGGUGAGGUAAAAGCUCACCAAGCCGACGAUCUAUAGCUGGUCUUAGAGGAUGAUCAGCCACACUGGGACUGAGACACGGCCCAGACUCCUACGGGAGGCAGCAGUGGGGAAUAUUGGACAAUGGGCGCAAGUGAUCCAGCAAUGCCGCGUGAGUGAUGAAGGCCUUAGGGUUGUAAAGCUCUUUUACUAGGGAUGAUAAUGACAGUACCUAGAGAAUAAGCCCCGGCUAACUCCGUGCCAGCAGCCGCGGUAAUACGGAGGGGGCUAGCGUUGUUCGGAAAUACUGGGCGUAAAGCGAACGUAGGCGGUCUAUUAAGUCAGGGGUGAAAUCCCGGAGCUCAACUCCGAACUGCCCUUGAAACUGCUAGACUAGAAUCCUGGAGAGG